rnacentral:rRNA from 1 species
UACGAAGGGGGCUAGCGUUGCUCGGAAUCACUGGGCGUAAAGCGCACGUAGGCGGAUCUUUAAGUCAGGGGUGAAAUCCUGGAGCUCAACUCCAGAACUGCCUCCGAUACUGAGAGUCUUCGAGUCCGGGAGAGGUGAGUGGAACUGCGAGUGUAGAGGUGAAAUUCGUAGAUAUUCGCAAGAACACCAGUGGCGAAGGCGGCUCACUGGCCCGGUACUGACGCUGAGGUGCGAAAGCGUGGGGAGCAAACAGG